AAGAAAGUUACGGACCGAACAGUUACUGCUAGUGCGUCAUUAAUAUUGUUCCUGAAGGAAUACCAGCUGCUGAAAAAGGUUCGCAUAGUGUAAAUGCUCGGUCACUCGUCGUCGGAAACAUCAGCAUGUACCUCCAAAAUAUGCUGGCCAGCUGUUUGGAGAUUCUGAUUUCUCCUUGGCGAAUACUUGACAAAAGUGGUAGUGCUGAUCCUGAACUCAUAGGAAAAUUGAAUGCAGUGAAACGAAUAGAAGGUAGCCUGCAGGCAGGAUCACACAGCCCCCUUCUCCCGGGUACUGACCGUAAAUGUUUUAACACAAUAUUCCGAGUGCUAACGGAACUACACAAGAUGUAAACAUUAAAACUUCUAUGAUCCAGAAUGGAAUCAUGCUGUUUUUCAGUGCAACCAUGGCGGAGAAGGGAAAAAAUCUCCUGUAAUGCUGAAGACGACAAGGUAUAAUCCAUCUGACACAGGAGGAUAACCCGCAUAAAUCCAAACGAUAGCCGAACCAUUAUUGGAACGGUAUACGUUCCAGGUUGAACCAUAAUGAUAAUGGUACUUAACCAUAACCGUACUGUAGUCUGAUAACGUUUUGACCAUAGUGACUAUGGUUUUCGUAGACCGCACUGUAUGGGCAACGGGUUGUUAAGAAUGUUAACUGUAAGAGAAAACGAUUUUCUUCAUACAUUUUUGGAGGAAAGAUUGUAUCAGUACUAUAUUGA